GGCCGCGGGAAUUCGAUUCAGGCCUAACACAUGCAAGUCGAGCGAGCAGAUUUCCUUCGGGAAUGAAGCUAGCGGCGGACGGGUGAGUAACACGUGGGCAACCUGCCUCAUAGAGGGGAAUAGCCUCCCGAAAGGGAGAUUAAUACCGCAUAAGAUUGUAGCUUCGCAUGAAGUAGCAAUUAAAGGAGCAAUCCGCUAUGAGAUGGGCCCGCGACGCAUUAGCUAGUUGGUGAGGUAACGGCUCACCAAGGCGACGAUGCGUAGCCGACCUGAGAGGGUGAUCGGCCACAUUGGGACUGAGACACGGCCCAGACUCCUACGGGAGGCAGCAGUGGGGAAUAUUGCACAAGGGGGGAAACCCUGAUGCAGCAACGCCGCGUGAGUGAAAAGGGCCUUCGGGUUGUAAAGCU
rnacentral:rRNA from 1 species